rnacentral:rRNA from 1 species
GAAAGUAGAAAAGGGCGCAAGGUGGAUGCCUUGGCUCACGGAGGCGAUGAAGGACGUGAUAAGCUGCGAUAAGCCUCGGGUAGGUGCAAAUAACCUUUGAUCCGAGGAUUUCCGAAUGGGACAACCCGGCCGUCUGAAGGACGGUCACUAUGCAAUGGCAUAGGGCAAACGCAGGGAACUGAAACAUCUUAGUACCUGCAGGAAGAGAAAAUAAGUUAAUGAUUCCCCUAGUAGUGGCGAGCGAACGGGGAAUAGCCCAAACCAUGACUGUGGCAACGCAGCCAUGGGGUUGUAGGACCACGCUGUAGCACGAUACUUGUGAGAAGAACGUUCUGGAAAGAACGGCCAUAGACGGUGAUAGCCCGGUAAUCGAAGCAAGUUGAAGCUUAGUGGUAUCCUGAGUAACGCGGAACACGAGAAAUUCUGCGCGAAUCCGCCGGGACCAUCCGGUAAGGCUAAAUACUCCCGUGAGACCGAUAGCGAACGAGUACUGUGAAGGAAAGGUGAAAAGAACCCCGAGCAGGGGAGUGAAAUAGUUCCUGAAACCAUGCGCCUACAAGCGGUCGGAGCAUCGUAAGAUGUGACGGCGUGCCUUUUGCAUAAUGAUCCUACGAGUUACCGUCACUGGCGAGGUUGAGUACCAUGAGGUACGUAGCCGCAGUGAAAGCGAGCCUGAACAGGGCGCACAGUCAGUGGGGGUAGACGCGAAACCAAGUGAUCUACACUUGGCCAGGAUGAAGUCCCGGUAACACGGGAUGGAGGUCCGCACCAAUAAGCGUUGAAAAGCUUCUGGAUGAGCUGAGUGUAGGAGUGAAAGGCCAAUCAAACUUGGAGAUAGCUCGUACUCCCCGAAAGGCAUUUAGGUGCCGCGUCGGAUGGUCACCGUGAGAGGUAGAGCGACCGAUAGGACAAGAGGGCUUCACCGCCUAUCGAGUCCUGACGAACUCCGAAUGCUCACGGUCUGCAGUCCGGCAGUAAGGGGGCGGGUGCUAAGGUCCGUCCCCGAGAGGAGAAGAAUCCAGACCGCCGUCUAAGGUCCCGGAGUUCUGCCUGAGUUAGUCUAACGAAGUCUGGUCCCUAUGACAGCUAGGAUGUUGGCUUGGAAGCAGCCAUUCAUUCAAAGAGUGCGUAACAGCUCACUAGUCGAGGGUCCGGGCAUGGAUAAUAAUCGGGUAUAAGGCAGACACCGAAGGCGCGGGAUAGCAAUUAUAAAAGUAUCGGUAGGGGAGCAUACUCACAGCGUUGAAUGGUGUACGUAAGUUAUCCUGGAGCGGUGAGUAAAGCAAAUGUAGGAAUAAGUAACGAUAAGGAGGGUUAGAUUCCCUCCCGCUGUAAGACCAAGGUUUCCCGGGCAAUGCCAAUCAGCCCGGGGUCAGUCGGGUCCUAAGUCUAAGCCGAACGGCGAUGGCGAUGGCAGAGACGGUUAAUAUUCCGUCACUGCCGCAUGGGGCGACGUGGAGACGGAGCAGUGAAACCACCGCGGGGCGACGGAAGUCCCCGUUGAAGAGUGUAGGUGUUGAGGAUGGCAGGCAAAUCCACCAUCCGAGCUGAACUUGAUAGUACGGAGUCCUCCUCGGAGGAAUCUGAUAGUGUGGGUAAUCAUACUCCCGAGAAAAUCCGCUAAGCUUAACCCAUGCGGCACCCGUACCGCAAACGGACACACGUGGUCGGGUAGAACAUACUAAGGCGUUGAGAGAUUCAUGGUUAAGGAACUAGGCAAAUUGACCCUGUAACUUCGGGAUAAAGGGUCCUCGUGAUGAGCGAGGCGCAGAGAAUAGGUCCAGGCAACUGUUUAACAAAAACACAGGGCUGUGCAAACUCGAAAGAUGACGUAUACAGCCUGACACCUGCCCGGUGCCGGAAGGUUAAGAGGAGAUGUCACUAGCAAUAGGAAGCAUUGAAUUGAAGCCCCGGUAAACGGCGGCCGUAACUAUAACGGUCCUAAGGUAGCGAAAUUCCUUGUCGGGUAAGUUCCGACCUGCACGAAUGGUGUAAUGAUCCGGACGCUGUCUCAACCAUGAGCUCAGUGAAAUUGUAGUAUCGGUGAAGAUGCCGAUUACCCGCGAUGGGACGAAAAGACCCCGUGAACCUUUACUACAGCUUAGCAUUGACCUUGGUCAUCCGAUGUGUAGGAUAGGCCGGAGGCUUCGAAGCGGGAGCGCCAGCUUUCGUGGAGCCAUCCUUGAAAUACGGCCCUUUGGCUGUCUGAGGUCUAACGCGUGAUACGCGGACACUGCUUGGUGGGUAGUUUGACUGGGGUGGUCGCCUCCAAAAGCGUAACGGAGGCUUCCAAAGGUGCCCUCGGGUCGAUUGGUAACCGACCUCAAAGAGUGCAAUGGCAUAAGGGCGCUUGACUGGGAGGCAGACAUGCCGAGCAGGCAGGAAACUGGGGCAUAGUGAUCCGGCGGAUGUGUAUGGAAACUCCGUCGCUCAAAGGAUAAAAGGUACUCCGGGGAUAACAGGCUGAUCCCCCCCAAGAGCUCAUAUCGACGGGGUGGUUUGGCACCUCGAUGUCGGCUCGUCACAUCCUGGGGCUGGAGAAGGGCCCAAGGGGUGGGCUGUUCGCCCAUUAAAGUGGCACGCGAGCUGGGUUCAGAACGUCGUGAGACAGUUCGGUCUCUAUCUAUCGUGGGCGUAGGAGUUUUGAGUGGUGCCGUCACUAGUACGAGAGGACCGUGAUGGACAGACCUCCGGUUUACCAGUUGUGCCGCCAGGCGCACCGCUGGGUAUCUGAGUCUGGAUUGGAUAAGCGCUGAAAGCAUCUAAGUGCGAAGCCAGCCGCAAGAUGAGAACUCCAUUGAGGGUCGUCAAAGACGAUGACGUUGAUAGGAUGCAGGUGUAAAGACAGCGAUGUCAAAGCCGAGCAUUACUAAUUGCCCGAACACUUUCUUUAU